UCUAGCCAACCACCAACUAGCCAAGAAAAUGAAGUUGAGGUGAUUGCUAGUGACAGAGUAAUUCAAGAGGAUGAAGAUGCUUAUGAUGACGACGAAGAGCAAGAGGAAGGGUUUCAUGGUAAUGAUGUUGGUGACUUGGAUGCGUACAUAGCGCAAAAGGACAUGGAUCAUGACUUGCCUUUUAGGCGUCAAUAUGCGUAUGACUCGGAUGACGAGGGUCUAGUUGAACAGUUGGACGAGGAUGGAUUCACAAAGGAGGAGAACCAAAUCCACUUUGAGCUGACGGGCUUACAAAAAAGAACUCACUUGUUUAAAGAUCUCAACCUUGCCCAUAAAGCUGUUGUUGACGGUGGAAUGAGAAUGACGACGAUUGAGCCAACACCAUGCCCGGAUCCAGGAGAACCAAGGGUGGAGAAUGAGGACGAGAAUGCUUAUUUGAAGAAAGGA
rnacentral:rRNA from 1 species